rnacentral:lncRNA from 1 species
CAGGUGGGAAGGUAAAGAUGACUGGAGAAGGCAAAAGAGGGCUAGAUCCUAUGAUGGGCUGUGUGCUCAGGCAAGGAAGGAAUGGAACUUUGCGAGCAUUGAAGAAAAGGGUGGCUGUGCUGAGGGAACUGUGUGGGAUUAACCCCGGAGAAACAGAGGCUGCGUCUUCACCCAAGGCCAAAUCACGGUGUUGACCUUGGCCACAUCAAUGUCUUAGAACUUCUUCACAGCCUGUUUGAUCUGGUGCUUGUUGGCUUUAAC